rnacentral:rRNA from 1 species
AUACGUAGGUGGCAAGCGUUGUCCGGAAUUAUUGGGCGUAAAGCGCGCGCAGGCGGUCCUUUAAGUCUGAUGUGAAAGCCCACGGCUCAACCGUGGAGGGUCAUUGGAAACUGGGGGACUUGAGUGCAGAAGAGGAAAGUGGAAUUCCAAGUGUAGCGGUGAAAUGGGUAGAGAUUUGGGGGAACACCAGUGGCGAAGGCGACGUUCUGGUCUGUAACUGACGCUGGGGCGCGAAAGCGUGGGGAGCAAACAGGAUUAGAUACCCUGGUAGUCCACGCCGUAAACGAUGAGUGCUAAGUGGUAGGGGGUUUCCGCCCCUUAGUGCUGCAGCUAACGCAUUAAGCACUCCGCCUGGGGAGUACGGUCGCAAGACUGAAACUCAAAGGAAUUGACGGGU